rnacentral:rRNA from 1 species
UACGGAGGGUGCAAGCGUUAUCCGGAUUCACUGGGUUUAAAGGGUGCGUAGGUUGAUAGGUAAGUCAGUGGUGAAAUACUCCGACUCAAUCGGAGAACUGCCGUUGAUACUAUCUAUCUUGAAUACGGUGGAGGCGGGCAGAAUGCGUCAUGUAGUGGUGAAAUACUUAGAGAUCGGGAGGAACACCAGAGGCGAAGGCGGCUCACUGGACAGUCACUGACACUCAACUGCGAAAGCGUGGGGAGCAAACAGG